rnacentral:rRNA from 1 species
AGCAGCCGCGGUAAUACAGAGGGUGCGAGCGUUAAUCGGAUUUACUGGGCGUAAAGCGUGCGUAGGCGGCUUCUUAAGUCGGAUGUGAAAUCCCUGAGCUUAACUUAGGAAUUGCAUUCGAUACUGGGAAGCUAGAGUAUGGGAGAGGAUGGUAGAAUUCCAGGUGUAGCGGUGAAAUGCGUAGAGAUCUGGAGGAAUACCGAUGGCGAAGGCAGCCAUCUGGCCUAAUACUGACGCUGAGGUACGAAAGCAUGGGGAGCAAACAGGAUUAGAUACCCGCGUAGUCCCUGUCUCUUAUACC